CCCCCCUAUGCCAUCUUUUCUUUGGAAUGCUUUGUUGAAUGUCAGUUUCCUGGCUCUUUUCCUCAAUUCAGUCCCGGAUAUGAUGUGUCUUUUUACAUGUACAGUGGUAAUUCAAGAGGACACUUUAGUUCUAAUAUGAGCUCAUUAUAAGCAUCCACCUUUAAUGUUUUGGUACUUGUACGAAACUCAGGAUUCAAUGGUUCAUGAUUAAAUGUUGGGUUUUUUUUUCUGAUGAGUGCCAUAUUGUCUAGAUACAUCAUUUUGUUUAUAGGUCUUCAAUUUUCACAUCGAACAUUCCCAUGUCUGCUCCUGUCUCCAUUGCUGUUAAUCAUUCUGA
rnacentral:lncRNA from 1 species